AGUGAACGCUGGCGGUAGGCCUAACACAUGCAAGUCGAACGGCAGCACAGUAAGAGCUUGCUCUGACGGGUGGCGAGUGGCGUACGUGUGAGGAAUACAUCGUGACCUACAUUUUCGUGGGGGAUAACGUAGGGAAACUUACGCUAAUACCGCAUCCGACAUACGGGUGAAAGCAGGGGAUCUUCGCACCUUGCGCGAUUGAAUGAGCCGAUGUGGAAUUAGCUCGUUGGCGGGGUAAAGGCCCACCAAGGCGACGUUCCUUAGCUGGUCUGAGAGGUUGAUCGGCACACCUGGAACGAGACACCGGCCCAGACUCCUACGGGGGGAGCAGGUGGGGAUUUUUGGACAAUGGGCGCAGGCUGGAUCCAGCACUCCGGGGUAGUGAAGAAGGGUCUCGGAGUUGAAAAGUCCUUUUUUUGGGAAAGAAGAGCGGCAGGUUAAUACGCCCCUGUUGUGACGGUACCCUACCAAUAAGCACCGGCUAACUUCGUG
rnacentral:rRNA from 1 species